AGCUAUAGCUCUGGAGUUUUUGCAGAUUUUCAAAUAAAACUCAGAGAUUCCUUAUAUGAUUCUCUCAAAUCUCUCUUUUGUGGUAUUUCUGGAUCCUUUCCAAGGCAGUAAUGGUAUAUGCCUUCUCUCAAAGUAUGUGGUUUUUUGGUAUGAGGCAUAGUGAUAUUGCCUUCUCUCUCACCCUACUCUAAUAAGGUUUUGAUAUCUAGAGCUCAUAGGUGGGAGACAGAUAAUACAUACUUACAAGACAUUUAUUGCAUAGUCAAACCAUGGAUCCACAAGAACAAGUCAAUAAGUCAAAUCAAGAUGUGCAUGUGUGGCGAGUGAAUGGUGUAUGGUGAUGAUGGUGAUAACAAUGGUGAAAGUCUAAUUCUACUUUUGCUCUUUUAAGGGGAUACAUACCUUUCUUGCACUUUGAAGCUUUUUGAGGAGAAUGAGAUGCUCUAUAUAUAUAUAUAUUUUCUCUCAGGUGGGUAUCUUGUACCCCUAAUUCUACUGUCGGACACUUGUCCAUUUUUACCUCUCGUCUCACUUUUUCUUUUCUUUCGAGGUUCCGGGCACUUGCCCCUUUUUAUUUCCUCGUAUCCUUCUUUUUUAUUUUUUUAGAGCACUCAUCUCCUGAAAUAAUAUAGCAAGUGGUAGUAACCAAGAUAACUCGAGCAUUUAUUUCAUAGGGAAAAACAGAAAUGUUUUUGGCUAUUCUCUCCCGAAUUAGGAGUAGAAUACUUUUAGGUGAAUCUGGAGACAGAAUUUAGUGGAUGUAUGUGGAUGCAUACUUCUGCAGUAGAAGCAGCAUGUAUGAGUGAACGUGCAAGUGAAUCUUGAUUUUAACCGCAUGACAAGCUCCUAAGGGUCUACACAGCUUGACCACACUCAAUGCUCAUAAGCAGUAAAAAGUAAAUGUGUGGCUCAAAGUCUAGCAAGCAUGUAUAUAUGGCUGUGGUAGGAUUUUAAUCUCUCAUCAUACAAGAACUCAUCAUGUGUUAUUUCAAAGAUUUUUCAAAGAUAAAAUUCUCCAGAAUUAUAGCAUCUCUAGGAACAGAUAAACAGCAGCUCAACCUUCCCAUAUCAUAUCCGUUAACGACUUAGACUUCAGAUUAAGUACUCUUCCCACAAGUUGGCAGAACCUUGACAGCAAUUAGGAUGUCCUCUGUCUGCUAGCCUUCUUUGAUCCUGGAAUUCUGUGG
rnacentral:lncRNA from 1 species